rnacentral:rRNA from 1 species
UGGGCGAUAUUGCACAAUGGGCGAAAGCCUGAUGCAGCGACGCCGCGUGGGGGAUGAAGGCUUUCGGGUUGUAAACCUCUUUCGCUAUCGAACAAGGCCCGCUUAGGGUGGGUUGAGGGUAGGUGGAGAAGAAGCGCCGGCUAACUACGUGCCAGCAGCCGCGGUAAUACGUAGGGCGCGAGCGUUGUCCGGAAUUAUUGGGCGUAAAGGGCUUGUAGGCGGCUUGUUGCGCCUGCUGUGAAAACGCGGGGCUUAACUUCGCGCGUGCAGUGGGUACGGGCAGGCUUGAGUGUGGUAGGGGUGACUGGAAUUCCAGGUGUAGCGGUGGAAUGCGCAGAUAUCUGGAGGAACACCGAUGGCGAAGGCAGGUCACUGGGCCAUUACUGACGCUGAGGAGCGAAAGCAUGGGUAGCGAACAGG